GUUGAUAGUAAAUACUGAUUUGUAACUCGUAAACAAUGCUGUCAUCGACGUUAAUCCACCUGAACUGUUCCCACUACAAUUUUCCGUCAUUUCUUUGGCUGCAUGAUUGAUUUCAACCAGCAGAGAGCGUUCCUGAUUCUCCACAGUCAGACUGCAGGAAGCAGGUGAAGCUGCAGUAAAACCGUCCUCACACAUUUCCAUUUUAAUGACAACGGCCGCCAUCUUAUUGAAUUUAGCUCAAUCCACCUGCAUGUGCAGCUCUACCAUUUUAGAGUCAAUAAGAAGAGGCUUGGAAACAUGGGGGAAAUGCAUACAAUCUGAUUUAAAUGCAUGUUUUCUGACACAUUUAUCCUGCUCUGAAUCCUAGAUGUGUCACCUACAUCACAAGCUGUAUUCCCUCUUAAACGCUCUAUAUUUCCCCCAUUCUUACUUACGGUUAGAUGCAGCUCAUGCAAAGUAUUGGUGAUUUUCAUUGCAUACUGCACAAGACAAUAAUGAGUUUGGGUGGAGGUAAUAUAUCUUGUUUUUGUUUACAUCUAUGAUUUAUGCUUUGUAUUUUAUAGCCAUGUAAAUGUAAUGCAAGAGAACAGGAGCAGAAGU